rnacentral:ncRNA from 1 species
UGCGAUGAGUCGAGUAGCGCGGUUAACGCGCGAAAGUUUGCAGCCAGUACGCAUCACCCGCCGGAUUUGCGGGCGCUGGUGGUCCCUCUGGAUUGUGGAGUCC